AGAUGUGAAGUUUGAAUAGUUUGAUAAAUGCUUGCAAAGUUUUGAUCGGUUGAAAGCCUUGUUGAUCGAAGCACCAGUUCUGGUUCAACCUGAAUCGGGUAAGGAAUUUGUAAUAUAUAGUGAUGCAUCAUUGAAUGGUUUAGGCUAUGUAUUGAUGCAAGAAGGAAAAGUGAUAGCUUAUGCAUCUAGACAACUAAAACCACAUGAAAAGAAUUACCCGAUACAUGAUCUGGAGUUAGUAGCUAUUGUAUUUGCUUUGAAAAUUCGGCAACACUACUUGUUUGGUGAAAAAUGUCACAUAUUCACAUAUCAAAAAAACUUAAAGAAUUUGAUGUCACAGAAAAAUUUGAAUCUGAGACAACGAAGAUGGCUUGAAUUGUUAAAAGAUUAUGACAUGAUAAUUGAUUAUAUCCAGGAAAUGCAAAUGUGGUUGCUGAUGCUCUGAAUAGAAAGUCUUCGUUUGCUUUAUGAGUAAUGAAUACCCGGUUGCCACUAUCUGAUGAUGGUUCAAUUUUAGAUGAGUUAAAGGCUAGACCGACAUUUCUACAGCAUAUCUGUGAAGCUCAGAAAAGUGAUAAUGAGGUGCAAGCUAAAUGGGUACAGUGUAAAUCGACUUCUGAUUCAGAAUUUUAGAUUGGACCUAAUGACUGUCUAUUAUUCAAAGGUAGAGUUUGUGUUUCGAAGAAUUCAGAGUUUGUAUAAAAGAUUUUAUAUGAAGCUCACAGUGUUACUAUGUUUGUGCAUCCGAGGAGUAAUAGAAUGUAUAAUGAUUUGAAAAAGAUGUAUUUGUGGCCGGGAAUAAAACGUAACAUUUUUGAAUUCGUAUCUAGAUGUUUAAUAUGUUAGCAAGUUAAAGCUAAACAUCAGGUACCUUCAGGAUUGCUACAGUCAGUCACGAUACCAGAAUGGAAGUGGGAUAGAGUUGUCAUGGAUUUUGUGUCAAGGUUACCCUUAUCUCCGAAAAAGAAAUAUGUCAUUUGGGUAAUCAUCGACCGUUUGACAAAGUCUGCGCACUUUAUUCCAAUACAUAUGGAUUUAUCCUUGGAUAGAUUGGUUGAAUUAUAUGUUUUUGAGAUUGUCAGGCUGCAUGGAGUACCAGUCUCCAUUAUUUCUGAUAGAGAUCCACAGUUUACAUCCCAGUUUUGGGAAAAGCUAUAGGAAGCUUUAGGUACACGGUUGCAUUUUAGUAUCGCAUUUCAUCCUCAAACUGAUGGCCAAUCCGAACGAGUAAUACAAAUUUUGGAAGAUAUGCUUCGAUGUUGUGUUUUAAAAUUUGAAGGCAAUUGGGAAAAGUAUCUGUCGUUAGUCAAAUUCGCAUAUAAUAAUAGCUAUCAGUUAAGUAUUAAAAUGGAAACGUAUGAAGCUCUGUAUGGUUGUAAAUGUAGAACUCCAUUGUAUUGGAAUGAACUCAGUGAGAGAAAGAUACAUGUAGUUGAUCUGAUCCGUGAAACCGAAGAAAAAUUGAAAGUAAUUCGAGACAGCUUGAAAGCAGCCUCUGAUCGUCAGAAAUCUUAUGCGGAUCUUAAACGAAAAGAAAUAUAAUUUCAAGUUGGUGAAAAGGUAUUCUGAAAAGUAUCGCCUUGGAAGAAAGUUCUUCGGUUUGCUCGUAAAGGUAAAUUUUUAUACAUUAUUCGAUUUAUUGGGCCGUAUGAAGUUAUUGAAAGAAUCAGACCUAUUGCAAACCGAUUGGCCCUACCGCCAGAGCUUGACAGAAUUCACAAAGUUUUUCACAUGUUUAUAUUGCGACAAUAUCGAUCAGAUCUUUCACAUGUUAUCUCCCUGAAAGAGGUUGAGAUUUAGCCUGACAUGACUUACAGUGAGGAAACCAUCAGAAUUCUGGCACGUGAGAUGAAAGAAUAUAGAAAUAAAAGGUAGCUCUAGUAAAAGGUCUCUGGCAAUGACAUGGAAUAGAAGAAGCUACCUGGGAACCGGAGGAAACAAUGAGAAAGCAAUAUCCAAACCUCCUUACUGGUAAGAUUUUUUAGGACAAAAUUUUUUUAAGGGGGGAGAAUUGUAAUAGCCCGUUUUCAAUGAAAUCAGAAUAGUAGUUUCGGGACCACAAAUCCAAGUCCGUAAGAACAAUUAUUUUAAAAUUAUUUUAUUGUCUACCGUAUGAUAGAAAUAUCGUAUAAAAAUUUUGUUAAGAAAGUUUUACUGAUUAAUUGAUAAAAGGACCAAAUUGCAUAAAAUGAAAAAGUUGAAUUCUAGUAGCUAAAAGGAUCAAAUAGCUAUGGAAUUUAAAAUUUGAGGUCCUUAUAUGGAAAAUAUCUGAUAAUGCCCGACAAGUAUAAAGUCUUAUUUGAAUAAAUAAAAUUCGAUGGAUACAGGGUUCCCGACUUGGUUGUGGUCUUGCAUAUGUUACGGACACACCACAUCUCGAAAGAGCGAGAGCUUCCCGUUAUUAGCUCUCAUGAGCAUCCCGAUAUAUGACCCUUUCGAGCUUCCCAUUAUAUAGUUCCUGCGAGUGUCCCGUUAAUAACUCCUUGGAGCAUCCCAACCAGUUGUGAUCCUGCAUGUGUUGUGUACACAAUGCAGCUCUUAUGAGCAUCCUGAUAUAUAGCUCUUUGGAGCUUCUCGAUUAAAGGCUCUUUAUGAGCUUCUCAAUAUGGCUCACUUGAACGUCUCGAUAUAUGGCUAUCUGAAGUUUCCUGAUUAAUGGCUCUUCAGAGCUACCCGUUAUUGACUCACAUGAGCUUCCUGAAUAUGGCUCUUCAGAGCUACCCGUUAUUGACUCACAUGAGCUUCCUGAAUAUGGCUCUUAUGAGCUUCCUGUUAUAUAGCCUGAAUAAGCUUCCCGUUACAUGGCUUACACGAGCUUCUUGUUAUAUAGCUCGAGAGAGGGCUUCCCAAUUAUGUGCUCAAAUUAGCACCCCCGAAUAUGAAUUGACAGAUUACAGAUUCGUACACUUCAUGUGUACUACCCUUGUAUCCAUCGAUAUUUUAAAUGAUUAAACGAGCAAGUUCUGACAUGAGAAAUUAUUAAAUUGGGACGAAUUAUUAUGAGUAUAUACUUGAAAUACAAGAUAUGAUUUGUACAUGAUUCAUGAAUAUUUGAUAUGAAAGGUAUAAGUAUAUGAAAAUUGAUUAUUGAUGAGGACAUAUAUGUUUCUUGAUAUUUAUGUGAAUUACAUGACUAACAUGCUUGAUGAGGAUAUGUGUUUAGGCAAAUGGCCAAAUUGGUUUGAGCAUAUUCAAUUACCUUACCUUAAAUAUGAAUUAAAUGGUAAGUUAAUUUCCUGUUAUUCGAACUUACUAAGCAUUAAUUGCUUACUCUGUUUUAUUUCCUCUGUUUUAUAGUACUUUGGAAGCUUGUUGGUUUGGAGGCUUGGCGGAGAUAUUUCACACUAUCCAUCAGCUCGUUUCAGUAUAAAUAGUAAAUUAAAUUUUAGGUUAUAAUGGCAUGUAGAGGUUAAAAGUGGUCAAGAAAGGCAUGUAUGUGUUUGGUUGAAAAUUAGCCAUUGGUAUGGCUUGUAAUUGAUAUGUUUUGAUAUCUAUAUAAAUAGUGGCCUUAGUAUGUUGUUGUGUAUUUGAAAUGGAUAAAUGAUGGAAAUCAUAAAGGCAUGUUGAGGAUUGGUUUUAGGAUAGUAUAAAUUUGGUAAAAUAUGCCUAUAUGUAUGUAUGGUGGUUUUGGUAACUUUGGAUAAUUGAAUAUAUGAGUUGAUAUGUCAUUUAUAAGACCUAGUUUUGGCUUGGUUUAAAUGUCUUGGAUUGGCUUGUGAGUGUGUUUAAGUGUUUAUGUAGGUGGAAGGCAAAUUUUGGUGAUAAAUAUGGCUUGGAAAUAGAUCUAUUUCGUCCACACGGACAGAGAUAUGGCCUAGCACAUGGCGUGUGUUUCGGCCUGUGUCCUCUCCAUCUUUAAAAUUUAAAAUAGAAUACUUAGGAUUUUUCACACGGCCUGGCACACGAGUGAGUGGCUUGGCCGUGUGACCUUUACACCUACACACGGGCAUGUGACUUGGCCAUGUGACCCAAGUCAGAGAGUUAGACAAGUACAAACACGGGUUGGGACACGGUCUUGUGCCCUAUUUUGAAUGCCCACAAGGCCUGUGACACGGGCAUGUCUCUUGGUCGUGUGAGCCACACGGCUUAACCACACAGGUGUGUGUCCCUUGCACCUAGGAAAAAUUUUGAAAUUUCGAGAAAAAGUUUGUGUAUCAGUUUACUCUCGACUGGUUUCUAAUGUAUGAUUUGGGCUUCGAGGGCUCAUAUAAAGGACUUAUUGAAUAACUUCUGACAUGAUUGUUAAAUAAUCUGAAAUGUCCGUAUUUGACCUGUAUAUUUCGGUAAUGCUUUAUAACCCUGUUCUGGCGAUAGAUACGGGUUAGGGGUGUUACACUUAUAGUUAUUAUCAUCAAUUAUUUCAUUUUGAUAGCAUUUUCAAUUCCAUGGAUUAUACCUAUUCGCACAAAUACCUCGACGAUUCCCACUCGUUAAGACAUAGAGCCUAAUAAGCAUAUCUGGAGUUCGUACGGAAAUAGGAUCCUAAUAGCUGGAGACAAGAGAUUCAUAUGAGAAAACAUAACUAAACAAGCCUCCACUUGCACCUCUAAAGAUAAAGGUACAUGAACUGCCAUUGGAUCCCCAUCAAAGUCUACAUUGAAUCCCUUACAAACUAAUGGAUGUAAACAAAUAGCGUGUCCUUCCACUAAAGUAGGUUGAAAUGCCUUUAUACAUAAUCCAUGCAGAGUACACACUCUAUUUAGCAAUACAGGAUGUCCCCGCAUAACUUCUUGCAGUAUUUCCCAUACAAUCGACCCUUUUUCCCGAAUUUUACUCUUAGCAACUCCUAUGCUCAGAGCAAGAUGUUGUCUAAUUAUACUGCGAAUUACAAAUGUCUAGAAAAGCACUAUUGCUAUUUCGCGAGGCAAUCCAUAGUGAAGUAAUGAAAAUGAGGGGCCAACAACAAUGACAGAACGUCCCGAAUAAUCGACUCGUUUGCCAAGAAAAGUCUCACAAAAUCUUCCCUAUUUGCCUUCAAGUACAUCUGAAAACAACUUGUGACUGUCCCUUAUUGGUUGUCCAUAAAUUCCAUUAUCAAGAAGUGUAUCCACGACUUCUUAUACCAAUUUUUCCUGACACAUUACUAAUUCCCCUGGUGUAGAUCUACUUGUUGUUAAUAGAUCAGUAAAAGUAUCAUUUUGAUAGAUAACUCUUCUAUAGAGUUCAUUAAUAUCUGAACUCAUUAGUUUACCCCUAUCUAUCUGAAUGAUCAGUCUCAACUCUGGAGGAAAAACCAAUAAUAGACAUAAAACCAUCCAUUCUAGUUCUAUAUUUGUUCGAAUAAAAUGCUUAGCCAAUUCCAUGUGUCUAACCAAAAAAUCCUUUCUUCUUCCCAUUUUUGAUCUUUCCAUUCAUUACCCAUGAGGCCUUCUUCUCCUAAUUCUUUCCAUUCUACCACCAAAUAAUCGAUAAGAAUUUGCAAAUCUAGAUCGGCUAAUUGUUCUCGAAUAGCACAUAUUUCGGUAGAAAUUUUACGACUUUGAAAUGUAUCGAAACCUUGGGUAGUAAAAAGAAAGUGGGAUAUUAUAUUUCUAGGAUUGAAUUUCAUAUUGGAAUGAACCUCGUAAUCAUAGGAAAGUAGGUUUUUUAGCAAUGGGUGUAGCAAAAGAAAAAUUAGGAUGGGCCCUGUGGGAUUCCCCCUCAAAAUCGGACAUAAGAGUUUUCUCUCAUUCGGCUCAAGUAGUUAAAUCAAAUAAAGAUAAAGUAAAGGAGUUCUCACUUUCAAAUUCUAGAAUGCCCCCAAAAAGGUCUACUCUUUACUCAAGUUCCAAGAAACAUUUCAUUGAUUGAUUUUUUUUUUAUUGAUUUAGAUUUUCUUAAUUCUUUAUUCAUUUAAAAAUUAGGACGUAAAUGAAAUGUGAAAUUCUUGAGUAGUCUACUUCUCCUCGAAUGCUGAAUCCUCUUAAAUUAAAGUAGUGUCAUAAGGGAUUUACUUGUCUAUGUACCCUUCCAUUUGAUCUCUUAGGUCUUGUGGUACCUUGACGAUUAUACCACAAUGCCCUUAACUUAAAGCCUAAACCUAUAUGCAAUGUAUAGACUCCUGCAACCAUGACAUUUUUGUUUCUUUGAACAUAAUUUCAUAUCAUUCUAAAAGAACUAAAAGAAAUGAGAACAGUUCAUUCCACACAAAAAAAUAAGUCUUUUUUUUCACGAGGUACAACUCAAAAUUCCUAGUUAUUUAUUUGUACUGACUCAACCAUAGACCAAUUCCCUUUUUAUUUAGGAGUAUUGAAUACGCCAAUAAUUCUGAGCUUCAUGUUACUCUUCCCAAGAGACAUGUCAAAUCUAGGGCAUCCUAGUUCGAUUGAAUGGAUAAUAGUUUAUCAUUUCUAAUCUGUAAAAUAAUAAUUUCGAUCAAAUCACACAUCGCAAUAUACUAGACCCUCUAAUUAUUUAAGGGGUUUGUCAAAAAUAUUGGCGACAUAACUAGGAAGACGUUUCAAAUACCAUACAUGAGUUACUGAACAUGCCAGCCUUAUGUAUCCCAUUUGAUAUCUUCGUAUCUGAGAAUCAACAAAUUCAACUCCACAUUGCUUACAAAAUUUAGGACCCUCCUUUUGAUUUCCUAUUACUCGAUAAUUUCCACAAGCACAAAUUCCCAUUUUUAUAGGUCCAAAAAUUCUUUCACAAAAUAAUCCAUCCUUUUCCAGUUUAUUGGUUUUGUAAUGAAAAGUAUAGGGUUUUGUCGCCUCUCCAAUGGUUUCUCCAUUAGGUAGGAUUUUCUUGGCCCAAGCACUUAUUUGUUGGGGAGAAACUGAUCUAAUUCGGAGUUGUUGUUGUUUAUAUCAGUCGAUCAUAGAAGAAAAUUUUUUAUUUAUUCCGAUUAAGCUUCCUUCCUAUUAAUUUGGAAGUUUUUCUCAGAUACAAGGAAAUGAUUCAGUUUCAAAGCCAAAGAUCGUAAUUCUCGGACAAGAAAUCAAAAAGAUUCUGGAGCAUCUUUGGGUUUAGGUAUUGUUCCUCCAAUGAUCGUAGUCCCAAGUACUUCUUGGUGAGCUCUAAUAUGAUGAGAUUUAUAAGUAAGCAUUUCUUGAAAAAUAUGAGCAACACCAAAUCCCUCUAGAGCCCAAACCUGCAUUUCUCCAACUCAUUGUCCUCCCUGCUUGGACCUUCUUCUAAGUGGUUGUUGUGUAACAAGUGCAUAAUGUCCACUGGAACACCCAUGUAUUUUAUCAUCAACUUGAUGAAUUAAUUUCAAGAUAUAAGGUUUUCCUAUUAUAACGAGUUGCUCAAAGGGGCUUCCCGUUCUUCCAUAAAAUAUUCUGCUUUUUCCUGGAUAUUUGGGUUCAAAUACCCAUGGAUUUGCUGUUUGCUUAUUGGCUUGAUAUAAUUCAGAAAACACUAGUUUUCUCGAAGCCUCUUGUUCAUAUCUCUCAUCAAAUGGUGCUAUUCAAUAAUAUCUAUUUUGUAGACUUCCUGCUAACCCAAGGAAGCAUUCAAAUAGUUUUUUUACAUCUAUUCGUGAAGGUACUCCUAAUGGGUUGAAAACCAUAUCAACAGGUCUUCCGUCUUGCAAAUAAGGCAUAUUCUGUCUAGGUAAAAUUUUUGAAAUGAUCUCUUUUUUUCCAUGCCUUCCGGCUAUUGAACGCCUACUUUGAUUUCACGUUUCUGUGAAAUAUAGACACGAAUCAUUUCCAGAUUAUAACUAAAACCCCUUUUUCUGGACCCAUCUCACAUUGAUGACUCGACCCCUCCCACCUAUAGGUAAUUUUAGAUAAGUUUCCUUUGAAGUGGAUACCUGAAUCCCGAGUAUGGCCCGUAAUAAUCUAUCUUCUGGAGCAUACGAUGAUUCUUUUUCCAUCUGAGGUGUUCAUUUACCUACUAAAAUAUCGCCUGUCUCCACCUAAGAUCCCAGCAUCACAAUUCCAUCUUUUUCUAAAUUGCGGAGUAAAUGGGCUUCUAGGUGCGGUAUUUCGUUAGUGAUUCUUUCAGGACUUUGUAUUGUCACAUGAGUCUAAAUUUCAUAUUUUUGUAUGAGAAAAGAAGUAUAAAUAUCUUCAUAUACUAGAUGCUCGCUAAUGAGUAUCACAUCCUCAAAAUUAUAACCUUCUCAUGGCAUAUAAGCUACUAGUACGUUUUUGCCCAAGGCGAGUUCACCACCAACCGUAGUGGCACUGUCCACUGAAAGUUUCCCCUUUUUAAUGCAUUUACGCCACCAAACCAUACAGUUUGAUGCAUACAAGUAUUUUUAUUGGAAUGUUGAUACAUAACUAAUGGAAUGCCGAGAGCAUUUCCAUUUCUUGAUAAAAUAAUCUUGUCAGUAUUGGUAGAAAUGAUCUUUCCUUCAUGAUUAGCUAUAGUGGGAACUCCUGAAUCUAGAGCCACUUGACGUUCCACCCAGUUCCAAUAAUGCACUUCUUGGAACUGAGAAAGCUGGAACUGCUUGGCGUUGCAUAUUAGAACUCAUUAAAGCCCAAUUCGCGUCAUUAUGCUUGAUAAAAGGAAUGAGGGAAGCUCCAAUAGUAAAAUAUUGAAAAGGAAAAAUACUUCAAAGAUGAACAUGUUCCCAUGCAAUAGUCAGAAAUUCUUGGCAGGUAUCGAGCCGGAACAACCUAUUCUUCCUGAAUACCCUGACUCAAGGCCAAAGAAUUUCCUGCCUGCUACCAUAUAAUAUUCAUCUCGACUUGGGGAUAAAUAAAGCAUCUGUGCUUUUUUUGAUCUCUCAAAGAUUUUAUAACAUGGACUUUCUAGAGACCCCCAAUGACCAAUCCUGGCAUGAAUUACUAAGGAUCCGAUAAGUCCAACAUUGAUCCCUUCAGACAUGUCAAUUGGGCAAAUGCGUCCAUAGUGACUAGGAUGGAUGUCUCAUAUCUGAAAAUUAAUCAGUUUGCUCGGUUAAUCCUCCGGGGCCCAAAUAACUCAAUUUUCUCCCAUGCACUAUUUGUGUCAAUGGAUUUGUUCGAUCCAAAACUUGAGACAGUAGGUGUAAGUCCGAAAAAGGAUUCAUAAGUGGUUGUUAAUGGAGUCGAAGUUACCAAAUUCUGAGGAGUCGGUAUCAAUUUAUGCCUAAUUGCUCCGCAUAUAGUUCCUCUAACUACAUUUUCUAAACGAACCAGAGCCAAUCCGAAUUGAUCUUGUAAGAGAUCCGCUACAGAACGAAUACGCUUAUUUUUCAAAUGAUUCAUAUCGUCAAGUGUGACCCAUUCCAAAUUUCAUUCCAAUCAAACGAUCCUGCAGCUGCCAAUAUAUCUCGCGGUAACAAAAAUGUAUUGUUCUGAGGUAUAUUAAGAUUCAAUCUCUGGUUCAUAUUUCGUCGACCAAUCCUUCCUAAUUCACAUCUUUGCUGAAAGAAUUUCUUUUGUAAUUCCUUACACAAGGAUUCAGAAAAUACCGGAUCCCCGCCUACACAAGAAAAUUGUUAAUAAAACUCAAAAAUGGCAUUUUCUUUUGACCCAAUUUUUUUUCCUUAUCGGUCAGGAAAGACAAUAAAAUCUCAGGAUAGCAAACAUUCUCUAGGAUUUCUCUUAGAUUCGAACCCAUAGCUGAUGAUAGAACUAGAAUCGAUAUUUUCUAUUCCCUACUUACACGAGCCCAUAUCCUUGCUUUUCUAUCAAUGUCUAAUUCUAACCUCCCUCCCUAAUUUGAUAUUAUGGUACCAGUAUAGACCAAAAUUCUGUUAUGAUCCAAUUCUGAUCGACAAUAGAUACUGGGGCUUUGCAAUAUUUGAUUGAUCACAAUAUCUGUAUAUUCCAUUUACUAUAGAAGUUCCGAGAGAGUUCAUUAAAGGAAUGUUUCCAGUAAAAAUUAUUUGUUCUUGCAUAUCCUUACUGGUUUUCCAGAUUAAUCCUACGGAUACAUAUAAUUCAGAAGAAUAUCGUGAGUGAUUCAUAUACUUCAUCCCUUUCUUUUAUCAACGGUUCCACCAAUUGAUAUGUUUCCACAAAUAAUUGAAAUUCAAUUUCUUGCUCUGUAUCUUCAAUUUUUGGAAACUUAUAAAGUUCUUCUGUUAAGCCCCGAUCCAUGAACCCACAAAAUCCUUCAAAUUGUAUCUGAUUCAACCCAGGUAUUGUAGACAUUUCCCCAUUUUCAUCCCCGAGCAUUUUGAAUUUCCCAUUUCUCAAAAAAAUCCCAUUCUUUUUUCAUUCUUCAUCGAAUCCUACGAAUCGAUCUAAUAAUGAUGGAAUUUCUAUUCUGUUUACUGAAUCACAUGAAAUUUUAUCUAACUCCAUAUACCAUAUAAUAUAUGUGGAAUGUAUGAAAUAUGAAAUGCGUAUGAACGGAAGAAGAAAAAUUAUACUCAAAUUUUAAUUUAUAUUUAUAACAAACAGAUACAGAAAAGAAUUGAUAAAUGCCAUUUAGCCGCAUGGAGUUUUGUUUUUGUAUAGAAUAUAAAAAAAAUAAUUCAAUUUCUACCAUUAUUAUGAUAUUACAUAUUCCAAUCCGAUUGAAUACCAGAAAAAUGAAAGGAAUUCCUAAUUUGAUCUAUUUCGUUGAGAUAAAGACAAAAUAAUCAUAAAAUAUAUAUAUAGGGAGAGAGUUGAUUUUUCUAGCGCUUAAUUUUUUCAUGGACUCCAUUGUUCAAAAAACGAUUCGCAGAGAAGAUAGAUGUUUUUACCCACUUUUUAGUUUUUUAUUUUUUAGUAGAAUAUUUAGAAUAUGAUUGAAGUGCGUACGAAAAGGGGGCUUCUAUUUAUUAAACAUGUGCAGAUAUAGCAUUUCUAUUUAUAUAUGUCUUUCUUUUAUUCCAUUAUAACGCUCUAAUGGAGACAAGACAUGGCGUGCUCUAUCAAAAAUUCUAUUUUUCUUUUAUUUUAAUCUAUUCAAUGAAAAAUUGAAACACGAUAAUUUCUUGCUGAUUCCCUAUGGACAUCAUAUCUAGAUAGAUAAAAUACCUCAUUAGAUAACUAUAACUGUGUAACAACUUAUGCUUUGGGGUUUACAUAGACUCAUAAUUGCUGUUAUAUUAUUAUAAUAUACUUGAAAUUCA
rnacentral:lncRNA from 1 species